rnacentral:rRNA from 1 species
GAUGAACGCUGGCGGCGUGCCUAACACAUGCAAGUCGAGCGCGACUGAUUUGAUGCUUGCAUCAUUGAAAGUUGAGCGGCGGACGGGUGAGUAACGCGUGGGUAACCUGCCCUAUACACAUGGAUAACAUACUGAAAAGUUUACUAAUACAUGAUAAUGUAUAUUUACGGCAUCGUAGGUAUACCAAAGUGUUAGCGGUAUAGGAUGGACCCGCGUCUGAUUAGCUAGUUGGCGAGAUAACUGCCCACCAAGGCGACGAUCGGUAGCUGGUCUGAGAGGAUGAUCAGCCACACUGGGACUGAGACACGGCCCAG